GACGAACGCUGGCGGCGUGCCUAAUACAUGCAAGUCGAACGCCGUUGCGCACGGGUGAGUAACGCGUAGGUAAAUUCCUCAUAGCGGGGGAUAACUUAUGGAAACGAUUGCUAAUACCCCCAACUGUGAGAUAGACCUGCGUUGUAUUAGCUAGUUGGUACGGUAAAGGGUCACCAAGGCGACGAUACAUAGCCGACCUUGGAGGGUGGUCGGCCACACUGGGACUGGGACACGGCCCAGGCUCCUUCGGGAAGCAGCAGUAGGGGAUCUUCGGCAAUGGACGGAAGUCUGACCGAGCAAAGGCGCGUGAGUGAAGGAGGUUUUCGGGGCGUAAAGCUCUGUUGUGAGAGAAGCGGUAACUAACCAGGAAGGGACGGCUAACUACGUGCCAGCAGCCGCGGUAAUAC
rnacentral:rRNA from 1 species